rnacentral:rRNA from 1 species
UUAAGUCGACCGCCUGGGGAGUACGGCCGCAAGGUUAAAACUCAAAUGAAUUGACGGGGGCCCGCACAAGCGGUGGAGCAUGUGGUUUAAUUCGAUGCAACGCGAAGAACCUUACCUGGUCUUGACAUCCACGGAAGUUUUCAGAGAUGAGAAUGUGCCUUCGGGAACCGUGAGACAGGUGCUGCAUGGCUGUCGUCAGCUCGUGUUGUGAAAUGUUGGGUUAAGUCCCGCAACGAGCGCA